rnacentral:rRNA from 1 species
GACGGAAGGUGCAAGCGUUGCUCGGAAUCACUGGGCGUAAAGGGUGCGUAGGCGGCUUGGUAAGUUGGGUGUGAAAGCCCCGGGCUCAGCCCGGGAAGGGCACUCGAAACUGCCGAGCUGGAGUGCCGGAGGGGAGAGUGGAAUUCCUGGUGUAGCGGUGAAAUGCGUAGAUAUCAGGAGGAAUACCGGUGGCGAAAGCGGCGCGCUGGACCUCUUCUGACGCUGAGGCGCGAAAGCCAGGGGAGCAAACGGG